rnacentral:rRNA from 1 species
GACGAGCCACACGAACGUUAUUCGGAAUUACUGGGCUUAAAGGGUGCGUAGGCGGUGCGGAAAGUUGGGUGUGAAAUCCCUCGGCUCAACCGAGGAACUGCGCCCAAAACUACCGCACUCGAGGAAGAUAGAGGUGAGCGGAACUUACGGUGGAGCGGUGAAAUGCGUUGAUAUCGUAAGGAACACCCGUGGCGAAAGCGGCUCACUGGGUCUUUUCUGACGCUGAUUCACGAAAGCUAGGGAGCAAACGGG